GACGAACGCUGGCGGCGUGCUUAACACAUGCAAGUCGAACGGAAAGGCCCUGCUUUUGUGGGGUGCUCGAGUGGCGAACGGGUGAGUAACACGUGAGUAACCUGCCCUUGACUUUGGGAUAACUUCAGGAAACUGGGGCUAAUACCGGAUAGGAGCUCCUGCUGCAUGGUGGGGGUUGGUAAGUUUCGGCGGUUGGGGAUGGACUCGCGGCUUAUCCGCUUGUUGGUGGGGUAGUGGCUUACCAAGGCUUUGACGGGUAGCCGGCCUGAGAGGGUGACCGGCCACAUUGGGACUGAGAUACGGCCCAGACUCCUACGGGAGGCAGCAGUGGGGAAUAUUGCACAAUGGGCGGAAGCCUGAUGCAGCAACGCCGCGUGCGGGAUGACGGCCUUCGGGUUGUAAACCGCUUUCGCCUGUGACGAAGCGUGAGUGACGGUAAUGGGUAAAGAAGCACCGGCUAACUACGUG
rnacentral:rRNA from 1 species